rnacentral:rRNA from 1 species
AUUGAACGCUGGCGGCAGGCCUAACACAUGCAAGUCGAACGGUAACAGGAAACAGCUUGCUGUUUCGCUGACGAGUGGCGGACGGGUGAGUAAUGUCUGGGAAACUGCCUGAUGGAGGGGGAUAACUACUGGAAACGGUAGCUAAUACCGCAUAACGUCGCAAGACCAAAGAGGGGGACCCUCGGGCCUCUUGCCAUCGGAUGUGCCCAGAUGGGAUUAGCUUGUUGGUGGGGUAACGGCUCUCCAAGGCGACGAUCCCUAGCUGGUCUGAGAGGAUGACCAGCCACACUGGAACUGAGACACGGUCCAGACUCCUACGGGAGGCAGCAGUGGGGAAUAUUGCACAAUGGGCGCAAGCCUGAUGCAGCCAUGCCGCGUGUAUGAAGAAGGCCUUCGGGUUGUAAAGUACUUUCAGCGGGGAGGAAGGGAGUAAAGUUAAUACCUUGGCUCAUUGACGUUACCCGCAGAAGAAGCACCGGCUAACUCCGUG